GGGAGAGCCUACAUACAGGUCCUACACUUUGUCAGGAACUGAGAUACCCUCUGAUGGGACAUUCUGCAUAACCUGCCCUACGUCUGGAACUGACACAACCUCUGAUUCCAUUCAGCUUCCAUUUGUACCCCAAGGAAUCAGUACACCUCGUGGUCCUGCUCCUGAUGAAUCUCUUCCGAUUUACUUUAUACCCCAAGGAACCAGUACACCUGUUGGCCCUGUUCCUAGUGAAUCUUUUCCAAGUUACUUUAUGCCCCGAG